rnacentral:rRNA from 1 species
CAGGCGGUUUGUUAAGUCAGAUGUGAAAUCCCCGCGCUUAACGUGGGAACUGCAUUUGAAACUGGCAAGCUAGAGUCUUGUAGAGGGGGGUAGAAUUCCAGGUGUAGCGGUGAAAUGCGUAGAGAUCUGGAGGAAUACCGGUGGCGAAGGCGGCCCCCUGGACAAAGACUGACGCUCAGGUGCGAAAGCGUGGGGAGCAAACAGGAUUAGAUACCCUGGUAGUCCACGCUGUAAACGAUGUCGACUUGGAGGUUGUGCCCUUGAGGCGUGGCUUCCGGAGCUAACGCGUUAAGUCGACCGCCUGGGGAGUACGGCCGCAAGGUUAAAACUCAAAUGAAUUGACGGGGGCCCGCACAAGCGGUGGAGCAUGUGGUUUAAUUCGAUGCAACGCGAAGAACCUUACCUACUCUUGACAUCCAGAGAAUUCGCUAGAGAUAG